rnacentral:tRNA from 1 species
GCGCUUGUAGCUCAGUGGUUAGAGCAGUGGACUCAUAAUCCAUUGGUCGUAGGUUCAAGUCCUACCAGGCGCACCU